AAGUCGUAACAAGGUUUCCGUAGGUGAACCUGCGGAAGGAUCAUUACCGAGUAAGGGUCUUCAAGGCCCGACCUCCCACCCUCUUGUGUCGAACAAAUUCUGUUGCUUUGGCGGGACCGCUCGGCCUCCGGGUCGACUGCCGGGUCUCGUACCGGGUAAGUGCCCGCCAGAGUCCACAAUUAAAACACUCUGUUAAAACCUUUAGUCUGAGUAAAUGAUAAAUAAUCAAAA
rnacentral:misc_RNA from 1 species